rnacentral:rRNA from 1 species
UACGUAGGGGGCUAGCGUUGUCCGGAAUCAUUGGGCGUAAAGCGCGCGUAGGCGGCCCAGUAAGUCCGUUGUAAAAGUCAAAGGCUCAACCUUUGAAAGCCGAUGGAUACUGCUGGGCUAGAGUCCGGAAGAGGCGAGUGGAAUUCCUGGUGUAGCGGUGGAAUGCGCAGAUAUCAGGAAGAACACCCGUGGCUAAGGCGGCUCUCUAGUACGUGACUGACGCUGAGACGCGAAAGCGUGGGGAGCGAACAGG